UGGGAGGAGAGGACUGGAGGGAAAGUAUAAAAAGCUGGGACCCUGAAGAGGUACCCUAUGCCUUGCCUUCCCUGGGCUGCAUCCUGGGAGUGGAAGCCAAGGGAAUGAUAGAUACCCCAGAAAAGGUUAGAGGGAUUCGGGUGCAGAAGGUGUCUCUUCUUACUUUCCAGUUGGAACCUGAGGGGUGAUAAGCCACCCCAACUUAUCCUGCACUGGUCAGAAGCAGAGAUCACUCAUCCUGGAGUAAGCCAGCUGCCAUGUCAUGAGGUCACUCAAGCAGCCCUAAGGAGAGAUCCACGUGGCAAGGAACUGAGGCCUCCUCCCUACAGCCACAUGAGUGAGUCAUCUCAGAAGUGGAUUUCCAGCUCUAGUCAAGCUUCAAAAAACUACAGCCCUGCAGCCCCAGACAGCAUUUUAACUACAGUCUCAUGAGAGAUCCUGAGCCAGAACCACCGACCUAAGCCACUCCCAAAUUCUUGACCUGCAGAAACUAUGUACAGUGGAAAGACAUGGCCUUGAGAGGCUGAUAAUGUGGUUCUCUCUUCACUGAUUUCUCAGGUGACAGAAUAUCUGUUGCAUCCAGAAGACCAUGUCAGAACUUCCUGCUUCACACACAAGCCUGCCUCUGGGAGCAUGCAAAUGCCUCGCUGUAGAUAGGGCUGCCUGUCUCCAGUGCUGCACUGGGUCACUCCUGACUUGCUCUGGUUCUGGUGACCUUGGCUCGUGAGCCUCUUCACCUUGACCUGGCUUCCUGACAAGGGCCUCAGGUGCUCUUGCAUCAAAGGCCUUGAACAUUCUGUGGGCCAUUACAAAGCUCACAUCCUCUGUGCCCGUGGGGCUUCGUGAUUCAAGCGGCCGUGACCAGGCCUGUCUGGGUGCAGGCUCACCGGCAAUGUGGUGAGUGACCGUCUCCUCGUGACUGCACAUGCACACGGAAGUACAAACUGCAGUGUCAACAGGCUUCCGGGACCCCGCCCAUGAGAGGUCAUAUGCAUCUUAUCUCCUAAAAGAAUCGUGAACCAGGAGAGGUCACUGGCGGUAACUGCCCAAAUACUGCUCUCCGAGGACUCAGGGAUACUCUCUUCCCAAAGCAAGUUUUUUGGUUUUUUAAAGGUAGUUUCCAAUAAUCCCUUAAAUGUGUUUCUCACUAUCUUACAUGCCUGAGUAAUCGCCGCGCGUGGUGCCUCACUACCAUGGUAUGAUUUCCAGCCUGU